UUUUGUAAAUACACACUAUGUUUACACAUAUGUGUAUCGGUUGCGUUGGUCUAUGAUUUGUGAGACAAAAGUAGCGGAAAAACGAGAUAUUGUGAUAUCCACAUCAUCUGCGGAUGACUUUGGUUAAUGAUUUAUGAGACAAAAGUAGCGGGAAAGCUAUUCAUUUGCGAUCCUUACAUCAUGUUAUGCACAUCAUCUGUGGUUAAAUAAUGUCUUCAGUAGGCGGUAGGCCAUGGGACAUAAUGUGUCGUGGCGUAGUUCCAGGCUACUGCUUAAACAAUUCAGUUUCACUAUGGGAUAUAGAUAAUGGGUGUCCACUUCCAUUCGAUGCAGCUGUUGAAUUAUUAAAAAUUCACACAAUUGGGAUUAUACGUGAUAUUGAAUGGCAUUCAAUUAGAGGGAUCGGUACGUUUGUAAUUGGAAUGUCACAUGCAAGACAACGAAAAGCGAGGACCUUCGAUGAUACAAAUUUAUUCACCUGGAAGAUAGAUGGUGGUGUUAAUAAUCGAUGGCGUGCUUAUCAUAAAGCUGGAUUCGAUGGCUUAAUAGUAUUAUGUGUAACUCCACAAUACGUCAUUCCUCCAAAUUCAACGAAUGUAAGUCCACAAGACUAUGCACUAGCAUUGGAGCAAAGAUUGGUUCAAAUCUUCUCUUUCAAUAUGAAUGAUUCUAGACUAGGAAACAUAUCAUUUUGCACCGGACAAAUGGCUAACCAUCCAUUUGCAGGAUUAGUUUAUAUGGCAUUUCAGUUUAUCUAAAACGCUUCACAGAGCAACAUGAUUUUGAACUUAAUACUUAAAGUAGAUAUAAUAAAGUUUUACGUUAAUUAAUUACUAUUAAGGGAGAAUAUAAUUGAACAUUUGGUCUAAACAAAUGCAAUGCGCAAACAAACAUUUUAAAAUGAAGAUAUUAUUUGAUGAAGUUUAGACAUUUCUUUUUUAUUGAAUGCUAGGAUGGUUUUACUUUCCAAUAAUCAUACAAUUUGUAUUCAUUGUAUAUGUCUCAUGUCAUACAAAGCAGAUCACGCAUCCAAGAAAAGAUCACCAUAAGACAUUACAGAAAAAGAAUAUUUUUUGUAUAAAAAUUCAUCGGAAUAUUAUCCAUGGAAACGGCUUGAAACCAGUAACACUAAUGUAACUGACAUUCAAAGUUGAAAAAAGAGAAUGAAUUAUAUUCAUAAUAUAUUUUUUUUCUAUUUUA